AGAGAAUCCGAGAAUUGGAGGCUAAGCUGGAGAUCCAGAAGAGACAUCUGAAGGAGCUUGAGGAAAAGUUUUUGUUCCUUUUUUUGUUUUUCUCACUAGCAUUCAUUCUGUGGCCUUGAAGACUUCACUAAGCAAAGAACUCGGGAUAGAAAAAGAGCUUAUGGAAUAAAUUGAGUCCCUACGGCAACCCCAACCCCCACUCAAACCAAAAUUCAACAGCAAAACAAGCUACUUCAAGCCAGAGACUGAAAACAGAAUCCAUGCAUACUUGAUGAGGAAGCCUUUUGGAUCCAUGGCUGGGUCCUGGCUGGGCCGAGCUGUAGGAGCCCUGAAGACGAUGGGGAUUUUUGUUGAGCUUGGGGCCACCUCCGAGUCCCCACUCUGGCACCUUCAAAGCCCGAGGGGCAGAGACCUGAAUACCAGGAAACUAAGUGCAAUUACUAGAAACUGAGUCACUGGAGGGCCACUGCACUGUCAGGGACCAGGCCGGAGUCCUUGUCCCUGCGCUGCAUGCCUCCCCUGGCCAUGGGGGUGUGACCAGCUGGACACAGACCUAUGUACAUAUGUCUCCAUGAACUGUGCUUCAUGUAGCCCGGAAUCUGUCAGCCAGAGUGACUUGCAAAUGUCCCUGUGACCUGAACCUGAAUUCAAACCCUGAUCAGCAAAUCCCUUCAGAUCCCUGUGCAGCUGAUCCAGCAGGUGGCGACCAGGGAGGGAGGGAGAGAGAGCGAGCGAGUGAGCAGGACUCUGAGGAGGGGCUGGAGGCUCGCCCAUUGUGGAGGGCGGAUCCAAGGGCCUCAGAUUUCCAAGAAGGAAGCCGCGGGCUCCAGCACUCUUGUGGAUGUGACACGGCGACAGUCGCAGAGCAUGACUGUCCCUGGGGCCAUGCGGAGUGGGGACUGAGAAGGUGGACACAGACUAUACCAGUCCCAGGCUAUCUUUCAUCUUGGUUGUAAUUUGCAAGGCGCUGCGGAGGGAAAAUGCUGGAAGGUGGAGUGUUCUGUGGCGCGUCCGUGGGGAACAAGCCUCCCUCUGACCCCAGCGCUACUCUCUCACAGUCGUGGAGGAAGGAGCCCUUCCUGACCUCAGGACACGGGCCCCUGAGUGGAACCUCCUAGAAGACGGAGUGGGGCAGCCAGGAGGGCAGGCAGGAGCUGGUGAGAGUUGGCCCCGGAGGGAGCCCCUCGGAAGGGAAGAGACUUGGGGGUGUGGCUGCUGCUCUUAUCCUAGGGCGGGUGGGGUAGGUGGGCGACCGUCUGCAGAAGAGGCCCCUGCUCACAUGACCGCUCUCUCCUAAACUUCUGGAAGAAGACGUGUGGAAUUAGGAGGGAUGAAGUGAAACGGAAGGUGUGAAGGAGAGGAUGAAUGCCCUAGGAGGAUCAUCAGGGAUUGGGCUGAUCCCAAGGAUGGGAAGAUUAACUGCUCUGUGUUUGCUGGGCUUCAAGAGCAACCCUGGGAUUUCUAGUAAGAAGAACCCUGGGAGAAAUCCAAGUGACUGAGAUUGAGGCCACUGAGGGGACCCACAGAGAUGGGAGCCCAGCAGAGGAACUGGAAGUUCUCAGAAGGGCAAACCCAAGGAUGGAGAAGGAGGUUGCAGUGGGCACAGAAGGGGUGCCCAGCCAGAGGGGGCGGGAUGUCCAAACCAAAUCAAAGAAUUGGGGCGGGGGGGCGCUCUAAGCAAAUGCACACCAGGACAGCUGAGAAGUGACCAUUCUCUGUUGCAAUCUAAACCCAAAGCACCUGCCACACCAGGUGUGGCAGGACAGGGGCCACCUGCCACGACUUACCAACAUUUGGUAUCCAAAUGGGAAUGAACUCGUGUCUUUGCUUGAAGACAGGCAGCUGAGCAUCCCGGGUAGCAAAGGGAGUAUGGAACCAUGCAGUGAGUGAAAAUGAACACCCAUCUGCUUCCCCUGGGGGCCCAGGCAGCAUAGAGAGCCAUUGCUUUGCUAACUUAGUAGACAGAAGUCCAGAGGUGCACAUGGGUCUCUGGGAAGCAUUUCUGAGGCACCGAGUGCCCAGCCUCUCCCCACUGCAGGAGCAUCGAGGGGGGUGGUCCUCAUGCCCUCCUGUCCCUGUCCUUCUGUCUGCUCGGCUCUCCCACUCAGACAACAGGGCAGGAAUGCUGUUGGCUUUGAAGUCAGACCCAUCUGGGUCCACUCCCAGCCUGGCCCCUUUCGCACAGCAGACACUCGCAAAGUACCUGCUGCUCUGAGUCUUAACUUCUCCGUGGGAUGGGGGUGAUGGUUUCCAUGCAACAUCUUGCCUCUUGUCUCCGUGGGACAUGACUAGACAGACCUGCAGGACUCCGGGAUCCUGGCGGGAGAUGUGACAGGCAGCACCCAUGGCUCCCUUGGUGGGACUUGUUGGCGAAGGAGACCACCCAACCCCUGGGGGACCAGGAGCCGUUCUCCGAAACAGCGCAAGGGAGUGAGACCCACACCAGCAGGUUAUUCUCCUGCGCAAUCUGAAGGCCCUGCGGACAUCUCGAGAUCUCCAGAGAGUCAGUGUUGCAAAUCCACUUAAUGUCACGAAGUCCUGACCCAGGAGCUUUGUAUGGGAUGGAGCCCACGGCUACAGGACGGACCGAGAAAAGCUUCAGCUACGUUGUCAGAGUGCCCAGCAGUGAUGGGCUUGACAUAAUGAACGUUGAUGUGAAGAUCGACACUUGCUGGGUAUUUCAGGACUCAGAGGACAGUGGUGAGGAGCGGGGCCGUCCUGCGGACGAAGCAGCUGGAAGCCCAGAAGUGGAUACGGGCGCGCUCAGGAAGCAGCUGGAAUCCUCCAAGCGAAAGCUCUUGGCAACUGUGGACAAGUCCGUGAUGUCCAAGGCCGGGCUGAGGAGCAGGUAAAUACAGUGUUUGCACCUCCUCUUGGUGUAUUUAGCGAAUCCUGGGCAUCCUAAUGGACUUAGAUCAGUGUGUUGAAUUGCUUUUGCGGCUGAGGAUGCGGAUGCCCGGGGCAGCCCCACCUCUGGUUCCUCCUCCGUCCUGUCCUGUCCUCUGCUCCGCAGGUCAGGGGCUGAGCCCGCACCGUGUCUGAGGCUCCUGAGCUCCAGCUUCCAUGGGGGUCCAGCCAGUGGAAGGCACCGAAGGGAGGAGGAAGGGAGAGACCAGGGUUUCCCCUCUCCUGCUAGGGGUGACAUCCCACAGCGACCCAGCCAUGCUUUCGGGCUCCUCUC